GUUCCACAAGGACCGGGACAUCUUUUCUGUCUCCAGCACCUAAUCCACCACAGCUGUCCAUGAAUGAGAAACAGCUGGAAGCUCAGCCGGUGCCACUACCUGUUCCUGCCAGAGUCAACAGAGCACGGGCUCUUCCACCACUUUGCGUAGGGGUGCAUGUGUACUGACAUGUUUCACCCGUAACCCUGGACCCCUCAGAGGGAAUAUACUCGCUAUCCAUUUCACGCCUAACAAGUUGUCCACCUCAGGAGUCUACCUGAAGUGCUAUGGAGCUACUACUAGCUCUUCCUGCCCACAGAUCCAGAGCAGCUGCCCAAAGGAAUCUCCAAUGCUCACUCAACUACACUGCAUAACAAGCCAAGGAUGCAGUUAUAACCCUUGAGUAAUCGAUUUACAUAUAUUCUAAGAAAAAAAAAGACACCAAAUGCUCUUUCUUGUCUUCAAGUCACCAAGAAGGUUCAUGGAAGACUAGAGCCUCACAGGGAAGCUCCUUAAGAAAAAGUAUAGCAUCACUUCUGGAAUGAAGAUGGGAAGAAGAAAAUGGAAGGGUAGGGAAAGGUUUUGAGCCUGUCAUAGAUGUAAUAUUUAUAAUAUGAUCUCUUCAAAUGAUUGGAGUAUUCAACAGC
rnacentral:lncRNA from 1 species